ACAAAUGUCAAAAUCUAAGAUCAAUAGAUUUGACACAUGUCACAAUCUUAUGAGUUACUAACUUUGAAAACAA
rnacentral:sRNA from 1 species